UUUCCCCCCCCGGGCCCCGGGCCCGUCCCGCCGCCCCCGCCCGCCUAAGGGAGGCAGCAGUGGGGAAUAUUGCGCAAUGGGCGAAAGCCUGACGCAGCGACGCCGCGUGAGGGACGAAGGUCUUCGGAUUGUAAACCUCUUUCAGCAGGGACGAAGCCAAAGCAAUGA
rnacentral:rRNA from 1 species